rnacentral:misc_RNA from 1 species
GAGUAUCAUGCCCUUCGGGGUAGAUCUCCACCCUUGAAUAACAUACCUUUGUUGCUUUGGCAGGACGCACUCGUGCCAGGGGCUUCGGCUCUUGAGUGCCUGCCAGAGGGCCCCAACUCGUGGAUAGUUUAUGUUUGUCUGAGUACGAUAUAAUCGUUUACAACUUUUAACAAUGGAUCUCUUGGCUCU